rnacentral:lncRNA from 10 species
AUGAGGGCGAGGCCUGGGGUAGGGCCAGGAUAAGCCUCACUGGGGCAGGUCCUGGGUAGAGACCAGGUUGGCGGGUCUUGGGGCGGGGCCAGGAUAGGGCGAUCCUGGAAGCUGGGCUUCGGAAGCGUCCAGGUUGGUGGCGUCCUGGAGGCAGUGCCUUGCGUGGGGGCAGGAUAAGAGUCCUGGAGGCGGGCAUUAGGGCGGGGAUAAACGCCAUUGGGUUCAGGAGGCGGGACUCAGAGCAGAGCCCAGGAGACAGGUCUUAGGGCGGGGCUAAGGCCAGACCCAGAGAAGGGCUCAGGAGGCGGGGCAGGGGCGGGGCGUUGACUAUGUCUUGGCACAUGGCCAGGCGGUGCGCGGACUCUGGGAGGCGGAGCUUAGGACGGGCCCACGUGGGGAGGGGCCCAGGGUCCGGGAGGCGGUGCCGAGUCCCGGCUGGGCUGCGCUCAGGAGGCGGGCCCUGGGAGGCGGAGCUUAGGGAGGGGCCGGUGGCGGGAGGGACCCAGGGACUGGGAGGCUGGUCGGGGCUGGGCUCAGGGUCCGAGACCUAGCUGGGCUUGGGGCGGGGCCGAGACGGAGCGAGGGGUCCAGGGUGUGGGAAACGGGGAGGGGUUUGAGGAGAGGAUCGGAAUGUGGCUCAAGUUCGGGAGGCGUUACCUGCGGAGGGUUUGAGGCAGGCCCAGGAGCGAGCCCACGGUCUGCCUACGCGGGGCCAGGGGCGGGCCCCAGGAUCCGGAGCUUCGGGCGGGGCGGAGUCCGAGUUUGGGGCCCGGGAGGCGGGGCCAGUUAGGGUGAGGGUCCCUGGGAUCGACGGGUCAGGUCUUGGGCUAACGUAGGCACUCUCGCAGUUCCUCCGCCUUCAGGAAGGUCUUUUUAGCAGAGGCCUUACGGGUGCGCGCUUCGGUCCUGGAGGCCUUAUCCUAACCUCCUCUCCAUCAGCGCCACCCGUCUGGGGCCCGAAACGAGGGAGCUUUCCCUCUGUCCCCCAGCCUUUGGACUGUCACCAAACAAGCCAUUCGUUCAUCAAAAAUACUUAUUAAGCGCCUACCAUGUGCCUGACAAGGGAGAUGUAACGGCCAGAGUGCAGUUGACGCAGGGCAGGGGAGCCCCGAAGUGGAGCAUAGCGUGUCCGGAACUGGUGGGUUCUUGGUCUCACUGACUUCAAGAAUGAAGCCGCGGACC